UACGGAGGAUGCAAGCGUUAUCCGGAAUCACUGGGUUUAAAGGGUGCGCAGGCGGCUGUAUAAGUCAGGUGUGAAAGGCCGCAGCUUAACUGCGGAACUGCCUUUGAUACUGUCCAGCUUGAGAGAGGUUGGGGUCAGCGGAACGUCACAUGUAGCGGUGAAAUGCAUAGAGAUGGCAAAGAACACCGAUGGCGAAGGCAGCUGGCUGGACUUACUUUGACGCUGAGGCACGAAAGCGUGGGGAGCGAACAGG
rnacentral:rRNA from 1 species